rnacentral:tRNA from 1 species
GAGGAAGCUAGAUUAGAGCACGAGACUUUUAAUCUCGUGGCCGUGGGUUCGAAUCCCACCCGGCUCACCA